ensembl:lncRNA
GAGAUGUUUGCCCGUCAGUCGAGUCCGGAGUGAGGAGCUCGGGCGCCGGAGCGGAGGAGACUCUUGAGCUUAGCCUGCCUCCGCCACGGCCACCGCCUGGACCUUUGCCUGGAGAGAGCCGCAGAGGGUCUGUGGCCGCAGUCCUCUGGAGGGCAGCGCGACGGGGGCCCGGACUCCAGUUCGGGAGGAUUUUUCGUCGUCCCCCUCCCCCCAGCGAGUGAGCCCGAGCGGCCGCCAAACAAAGGUACCAGUCGCCGCCGCGGGAGGAGGAGGAGCCGGAGCUUCAGCCUCGGCCGCCGCUGGACCCGCCGCCCUUCUCCCCCAUCUCUCCCCCGGGCCUGCUGGUUUUGGGGGGGAGCCGGGGAGGGGACUCUGGACGCUCCGGGGUCGGCGCUCGCCUCCGAAGAAGGUGCAGGUGAAUCUGGUGUUUUCGAGGGGAUCGCGGUCCCGGAAUCAUCAUGAAGGCCCUUGAUGAGCCUCCCUAUUUGACAGUGGGCACUGAUGUGAGUGCUAAAUACAGAGGAGCCUUUUGUGAAGCCAAGAUCAAGACAGCAAAAAGGCUUGUCAAAGUCAAGGUAACAUUUAGACAUGAUUCUUCAACGGUGGAAGUUCAGGAUGACCACAUAAAGGGCCCAUUAAAGGUUGGAGCUAUUGUGGAAGUGAAGAAUCUUGAUGGUGCAUAUCAGGAAGCUGUUAUCAAUAAAUUAACAGAUGCGAGUUGGUACACUGUAGUUUUUGAUGAUGGAGAUGAGAAGACACUGAGACGAUCUUCACUGUGCCUAAAGGGAGAGAGGCAUUUUGCUGAAAGUGAAACAUUAGACCAGCUCCCACUCACCAACCCUGAACAUUUUGGCACUCCAGUCAUAGGAAAGAAAACAAAUAGAGGAAGAAGAUCUAAUCAUAUACCAGAGGAAGAGUCUUCUUCAUCCUCCAGUGAUGAAGAUGAGGAUGAUAGGAAACAGAUUGAUGAGCUACUAGGAAAAGUUGUGUGUGUAGAUUAUGUUAGUUUGGAUAAAAAGAAAACACUAUGGUUUCCUGCAUUGGUGGUUUGUCCUGAUUGUAGUGAUGAAAUUGCUGUGAAAAAAGAUAAUAUUCUUGUUCGAUCUUUCAAAGAUGGCAAAUUUACUUCAGUGCCAAGAAAGGAUGUCCAUGAAAUUACUAGUGACACUGCACCAAAGCCUGAUGCUGUAUUAAAACAAGCCUUUGACCAGGCACUUGAAUUUCACAAAAGUAGAACUAUUCCUGCUAACUGGAAGACUGAAUUGAAAGAAGAUAGCUCUAGCAGUGAAGCAGAGGAAGAGGAGGAGGAGGAAGAUGAUGAGAAAGAAAAGGAGGACAAUAGCAGUGAAGAAGAGGAAAAUAAUACUAAUUUUCUUCAGCAGUUGUACAAAUUUAUGGAGGAUAGAGGAACACCAAUUAACAAACGACCUGUGCUUGGAUAUCGAAAUUUGAAUCUCUUUAAGUUAUUCAGACUUGUACACAAACUUGGAGGAUUUGAUAAUAUUGAAAGUGGAGCUGUUUGGAAGCAAGUCUACCAAGAUCUUGGCAUUCCUGUCUUAAAUUCAGCUGCAGGAUACAAUGUUAAGUGUGCUUAUAAAAAAUACUUAUAUGGUUUUGAGGAGUACUGUAGAUCGGCCAAUAUUGAAUUUCAGAUGGCAUUGCCAGAGAAAGUUGUUAACAAACCAUGUAAGGAGUGUGAAAAUGUAAAAGAAAUAAAAGUUAAGGAAGAAAAUGAACCAGAGAUCAAAGAAAUAAAGAUUGAAGAGGAAGAGAAGAUAGUACCAAAAGAAGAAAAGCCUGCUGAAGAUGACAUUGAAAGAAAGGAAAAUAUUAAACCCUCUCUGGGAAGUAAAAAGAAUUUAUUAGAAUCUAUACCUACACAAACUGAUCAGGAAAAAGAAGUGAACAUGAAAAAAACAGAAGAAAAUGAAAAUCUGGAAGAUAAAGAUGAUGUGACAACUGGGGUAGAUGAAUCCCUCAGCAUAAAGGUAGAAGCUGAAGAAGAAAAAGCAAAAUCUGGAUAUGAUGAAUGGAUUAAAGCAGAUAAAAUAGUAAGGCCGGCUGAUAAAAAUGUGCCAAAGAUAAAACAUCGGAAGAAAAUAAAGGUAAGCGCUUAUUUUACAAAUUCAUCUCCUGAAAUGGUAUCUAAGCUGGAUCUUACUGAUGCCAAAAACUCCGAUACAGCUCAUAUUAAAUCCAUAGAAAUUACUUCUAUUCUUAAUGGACUUCAAGCUUCUGAAAGUUCUGCUGAAGACAGUGAGCAGGAGGAUGAGACAGGUACACACGACAUGGACAGCAAUGGCAAAGAGGAGUGUAAGGCUGACCAUUUAACGCACCCCAGGAGUGACCUUUCAAAAGAAGAGCAGAACAGUUCGUCUUUGCUAGAAGAAAACAAGGUCCACGCUGAUUUGGUAAUAUCUAAAACAGCAUCGAAAUCUCCAGAGAGAUUAAGAAAAGAUAUAGAAGGAUUAUCCGAAGAUACUGAUUAUGAAGAAGAUGAAGUCACAAAAAAGAGAAAGGAUGUCAAGAAGGACACCACAGAUAAAUCUUCAAAGCCACAAGUAAAACGUGGUAAAAGAAGAUAUUGCAAUACAGAGGAGUGUUCAAAAAACUGGAUCACCCACAAGCUGACACCAACUAAGAAAUACAAUAACAGCAGAGCUAAAGAUCGAAAAGAUGUCUGGUCAAGUAUUCAGGGACAGUGGCCUAAAAAAACGCUGAAGGAGCUUUUUUCAGACUCUGACACUGAGGCUGCAGCUUCCCCACCCCACCCUGCCCCAGAGGAGGGCCUGGCAGAGGGGUCACUGCAGACCGUGGCUGAGGAGGAGAGCUGCUCACCCAGCGCCGAGCUAGAAACACCACCACCGGCCAUUGCCGACACGGAAUUUCCAAGUAGUGGCAGUAAUUCAGUGCUAAAUACCCCUCCUACCACCCCCGAAUCGCCUUCCUCCGUCACUGUCACGGAAGCCGGUCGGCAGCAGUCUUCUGUAACCGUAUCAGAAGCGCUGGCCCCAAACCAAGAAGAGGUCCGAAGUAUCAAGAGUGAAACUGAUAGCACAAUCGAGGUGGAUAGUGUUGCAGGGGAGCUCCAAGACCUGCAGUCGGAGGGGAACAGCUCGCCAGCAGGCUUUGACGCGAGUGUGAGCUCCAGCAGUAGUAACCAGCCAGAGCCAGAGCACCCUGAAAAAGCCUGUACAGGUCAGAAAAGAGGGAAAGAAGCUCAGGGAGGAGGAAGUGCAUCCAAAAAGCAGAAACGAAGCCAUAAAGCAACAGUGGUAAACAACAAAAAGAAGGGAAAAGGCACGAAUAGUAGUGAUAGUGAAGAACUUUCUGCUGGUGAAAGUGUAACUAAGACUCAGCCAGUCAAAUCAGUUUCUACUGGGAUGAAGUCGCAUAGUACCAAGUCUCCUGCAAGGACGCAGUCUCCAGGAAAAUGUGGGAAGAAUGGUGAUAAGGAUCCUGAUCUCAAGGAACCCAGUAAUCGAUUACCCAAAGUUUACAAAUGGAGUUUUCAGAUGUCGGACCUAGAAAAUAUGACAAGUGCUGAACGCAUCACAAUUCUUCAAGAAAAACUGCAAGAAAUCAGAAAACAUUAUCUGUCAUUAAAAUCUGAAGUAGCUUCCAUUGAUCGGAGGAGAAAGCGUUUAAAGAAGAAAGAGAGAGAAAGUGCUGCUACAUCCUCCUCCUCUUCUUCACCUUCAUCCAGUUCCAUAACAGCUGCUGUUAUGUUAACUUUAGCUGAACCAUCAAUGUCCAGCUCAUCACAAAAUGGAAUGUCAGUUGAGUGCAGGUGACAGCAGGACUUGCUAAAGCACUUUGCACUUAAUGGCUGUUGAGGGCCACGUCUUUUUUAUACUGCACAGUGGCACAAAAAAAAAAAAUCAGACAAGCACUAUUUUAUAUUUAAAAAUUGUUUCUUGACAAGCUGACUUGGCACUUAAGUGCACUUUUUUUAUGAAGAAAAAGUACAAUGAACUGCUUUUCCUCAAGCAAUAAUUGUUUCCAACUUGUCUGGGAAUUGUGUGUCUGGUAACUUGAAGGCCUUCCACUGUGGCAAAUGGAGGCUUUUCACUGCCUGUAGAGACAAUACAGUAAGCAUAGUUAUUGGGUUGGCCAGAACAUGGUAAGAUAACUUACUGUAUAUGUAUUCCCUUGUAUUUUGUUAAAGCUGGAGCAUUUGAUAUUUUUCCAUUUAUUUAUGAAAAAAUAUGAACCUAUUUUCAUUUGUACAAGCUAAUUGUUUUUUAAAGCAAGUCACCUUUGGGUGGCUUUAAUUGUAUAAGUCAAGCACAUGUAAUAAAUUCAAAACCUGCAGUUAACA